rnacentral:rRNA from 1 species
UUUUUGUGGAGAGUUUGAUCCUGGCUCAGGACGAACGCUGGCGGCGUGCUUAACACAUGCAAGUCGAACGGAAAGGCCUCAGCUUGCUGGGGUACUCGAGUGGCGAACGGGUGAGUAACACGUGGGUGAUCUGCCUUGCACUCUGGGAUAAGCUUGGGAAACUGGGUCUAAUACCGGAUAUGAACUGCCUUUAGUGUGGUGGUUGGAAAGUUUUUUCGGUGCAAGAUGAGCUCGCGGCCUAUCAGCUUGUUGGUGGGGUAAUGGCCUACCAAGGCGUCGACGGGUAGCCGGCCUGAGAGGGUGUACGGCCACAUUGGGACUGAGAUACGGCCCAGACUCCUACGGGAGGCAGCAGUGGGGAAUAUUGCACAAUGGGCGGAAGCCUGAUGCAGCGACGCCGCGUGGGGGAUGACGGCCUUCGGGUUGUAAACUCCUUUCGACAGGGACGAAGCUUUUUGUGACGGUACCUGUAUAAGAAGCACCGGCUAACUACGUGCCAGCAGCCGCGGUAAUACGUAGGGUGCGAGCGUUGUCCGGAAUUACUGGGCGUAAAGAGCUCGUAGGUGGUUUGUCGCGUCGUCUGUGAAAUUCCGGGGCUUAACUUCGGGCGUGCAGGCGAUACGGGCAUAACUUGAGUGCUGUAGGGGAGACUGGAAUUCCUGGUGUAGCGGUGAAAUGCGCAGAUAUCAGGAGGAACACCGAUGGCGAAGGCAGGUCUCUGGGCAGUUACUGACGCUGAGGAGCGAAAGCAUGGGUAGCAAACAGGAUUAGAUACCCUGGUAGUCCAUGCCGUAAACGGUGGGCGCUAGGUGUAGGGGGCUUCCACGUCUUCUGUGCCGUAGCUAACGCAUUAAGCGCCCCGCCUGGGGAGUACGGCCGCAAGGCUAAAACUCAAAGGAAUUGACGGGGGCCCGCACAAGCGGCGGAGCAUGUGGAUUAAUUCGAUGCAACGCGAAGAACCUUACCUGGGCUUGACAUACAC